UACAGAGGGUGCGAGCGUUAAUCGGAUUUACUGGGCGUAAAGAGCGUGUAGGCGGCCCGAUAAGUCCGCUGUGAAAGUCCAGGGCUCAACCCUGGGAUGCCGGUGGAUACUGUCGGGCUCGAGUCCGGAAGAGGAGUGUGGAAUUCCUGGUGUAGCGGUGAAAUGCGCAGAUAUCAGGAGGAACACCAAUGGCGAAGGCAGCACUCUGGGACGUGACUGACGCUGAGACGCGAAAGCGUGGGGAGCAAACAGG
rnacentral:rRNA from 1 species